rnacentral:lncRNA from 1 species
UUUUUCUCUUAUUCUUCUCCUUAUCACAACGAUCCUCAUACUCAGCAUGUAGCAAAGAUUCUUCAAACAGCCACUGCCUCCGAAGACAGUCUCGAUAUUAGCCCUUUUGAACAUCUUCUCGCACGUCAAGAUCUAUCCAUGUGAAAUACUUGGAAAGAGGAGGGGGUGACUGCGUAAAAAACAUGCUUCCUCAUUAGUAAUACAA